UACGUAGGGGGCGAGCGUUGUCCGGAUUUACUGGGCGUAAAGCGCGUGUAGGCGGCGCUUUAAGUUGGGUGUGAAAGCCCGGGGCUCAACCCCGGGACGCCGCCCAAGACUGGAGUGCUUGAGGACGGAAGAGGGGCGUGGAAUUCCAGGUGUAGCGGUGAAAUGCGUAGAGAUCUGGAGGAACACCCGUGGCGAAGGCGGCGCCCUGGUCCGUUUCUGACGCUGAGACGCGAAAGCGCGGGGAGCGAACGGG
rnacentral:rRNA from 1 species